rnacentral:rRNA from 1 species
GAAACGACUGCUAAGACUGGAUAGGAGACAAGAGGGCAUCUUCUUGUUUUUAAAAGACCUAGCAAUAGGUAUGCUUAGGGAGGAGCUUGCGUCACAUUAGUUAGUUGGUGGGGUAAAGGCUUACCAAGACUAUGAUGUGUAGCCGGGCUGAGAGGUUGAACGGCCACAUUGGGACUGAGACACGGCCCAAACUCCUACGGGAGGCAGCAGUAGGGAAUUUUCGGCAAUGGAGGAAACUCUGACCGAGCAACGCCGCGUGAACGAUGAAGUAUUUCGGUACGUAAAGUUCUUUUAUUAGGGAAGAAUAAAUGAUGGAAAAAUCAUUCUGACGGUACCUAAUGAAUAAGCCCCGGCUAACUAUGUGCCAGCAGCCGCGGUAAUACAUAGGGGGCAAGCGUUAUCCGGAAUUAUUGGGCGUAAAGGGUGCGUAGGCGGUUAAAUAAGUUUAUGGUCUAAGUGCAAUGCUUAACAUUGUGAUGCUAUAAAAACUGUUUAGCUAGAGUAAGAUAGAGGCAAGUGGAAUUCCAUGUGUAGUGGUAAAAUGCGUAAAUAUAUGGAGGAACACCAGUAGCGAAGGCGGCUUGCUGGGUCUUUACUGACGCUGAGGCACGAAAGCGUGGGGAGCAAACAGGAUUAGAUACCCUGGUAGUCCACGCCGUAAACGAUGAGUACUAAAUGUUGGGUAAAACCAGUGUUGAAGUUAACACAUUAAGUACUCCGCCUGAGUAGUACGUACGCAAGUAUGAAACUUAAAGGAAUUGACGGGACUCCGCACAAGCGGUGGAUCAUGUUGUUUAAUUCGAAGGUACCCGAAAAACCUCACCAGGUCUUGACAUGCUUCUGCAAAGCUGUAGAAACACAGUGGAGGUUAUCAGUUGCACAGGUGGUGCAUGGUUGUCGUCAGCUCGUGUCGUGAGAUGUUGGGUUAAGUCCCGCAACGAGCGCAACCCUUAUUGUUAGUUGCCAGCACGUAAUGGUGGGGACUUUAGCAAGACUGCCAGUGAUAAAUUGGAGGAAGGUGGGGACGACGUCAAAUCAUCAUGCCCCUUAUGACCUGGGCUACAAACGUAAUACAAUGGCUGUUACAAAGGGUAGCUGAAACGCAAGUUUUUGGCGAAUCUCAAAAAAACAGUCUCAGUUCGGAUUGAAGUCUGCAACUCGACUUCAUGAAGUUGGAAUCGCUAGUAAUCGCGAAUCAGCAUGUCGCGGUGAAUACGUUCUCGGGGUUUGUACACACCGCCCGUCA